rnacentral:rRNA from 1 species
AGGAAAUUAAACCAUUUUUCCACCUUAGUACGGGAGACGGAAAAGGUAAUUUUAAGCAAUAGAGAAAGUACCGCAAGGGAAAGCUGAAAGAGUAAUGAAAUAAUCCAUAUAAGCACAAAGAAGCAGAGCUUAACCCUCGUACCUUUUGCAUCAUGAUUUAGCCAGCACCCCACAAGCAAAGUGACCUUUAGUUUGAAAUCCCGAAACCAGGUGAGCUACCCCGGGACAGCCUUUUGGGCGAACCCGUCUCUGUGGCAAAAGAGUGGGAAGAGCCCCGGGUAGAGGUGAUAAACCUACCGAACUUGGUGAUAGCUGGUUGCCUGAGAAAUGAAUAGAAGUUCAGCCUCGUACCCCUUCAGCCAACCAUGAAAUAUCUAAGUAAGCAUAGAAGAGAAAUACGAGAGUUAGUUGAAGGGGGUACAGCCCCUUUAAUAAAGGACACAACCUUAAAUAGGAGGAUAAGAGUCACAUUUUAUAAAACUAGUCAUUCCAGUGGGCCUAAAAGCAGCCAUCUGAAUAGAAAGCGUUAAAGCUCAAACGACAUGUAGUUUAUUAUACUGUUAAAUAACCCAACUCCCCUAAAGAUAUUAGGCCAUUCCAUGCCCCCAUGGAAGAGACCAUGCUAGAAUGAGUAAUAAGAGGGUAUGACCCUCUCCUAGCACAAGUGUAAGCCAGAUCGGACAAGCCACUGGAAAUUAACGAGCCCAUAAAAAGAGGGUAAUGUGUUCACUAAAGAAAUCAAGAAAAUAACACAGCUUUUUAUCGUUAAACCCACACUGGAGUGCCAUUAAGGAAAGACUAAAAGAAAGGGAAGGAACUCGGCAAACACAAGCCUCGCCUGUUUACCAAAAACAUCGCCUCCUGCGAACCCCAAUGUAUAGGAGGUCCAGCCUGCCCGGUGACUACAAGUUUAACGGCCGCGGUAUUUUGACCGUGCAAAGGUAGCGCAAUCACUUGUCUUUUAAAUGAAGACCUGUAUGAAUGGCUAAACGAGGGCUUAACUGUCUCCCUUUUCAGG